rnacentral:rRNA from 1 species
UGGUUAAGCUAAUAAGAGCACACGGAGGAUGCCUAGGCGCCAGGAGCCGA